UACGAAGGGGGCUAGCGUUGCUCGGAAUCACUGGGCGUAAAGCGCACGUAGGCGGAUUGUUAAGUCAGGGGUGAAAUCCUGGAGCUCAACUCCAGAACUGCCUUUGAUACUGGCGAUCUUGAGUCCGGGAGAGGUGAGUGGAACUGCGAGUGUAGAGGUGAAAUUCGUAGAUAUUCGCAAGAACACCAGUGGCGAAGGCGGCUCACUGGCCCGGUACUGACGCUGAGGCACGAAAGCGUGGGGAGCGAACAGG
rnacentral:rRNA from 1 species